rnacentral:rRNA from 1 species
CUACGUGCCAGCAGCCGCGGUAAUACGUAGGUCCCGAGCGUUAUCCGGAUUUAUUGGGCGUAAAGCGCGCGCAGGCGGAUUGGUCAGUCUGUCUUAAAAGUUCGGGGCUUAACCCCGUGAUGGGAUGGAAACUGCCAAUCUAGAGUAUCGGAGAGGAAAGUGGAAUUCCUAGUGUAGCGGUGAAAUGCGUAGAUAUUAGGAAGAACACCAGUGGCGAAGGCGACUUUCUGGACGAGAACUGACGCUGAGGCGCGAAAGCCAGGGGAGCGAACGGGAUUAGAUACCCCGGUAGUCCUGGCCGUAAACGAUGGGUACUAGGUGUAGGAGGUAUCGACCCCUUCUGUGCCGGAGUUAACGCAAUAAGUACCCCGCCUGGGGAGUACGACCGCAAGGUUGAAACUCAAAGGAAUUGACGGGGGCCCGCACAAGCGGUGGAGUAUGUGGUUUAAUUCGACGCAACGCGAAGAACCUUACCAGGUCUUGACAU